rnacentral:misc_RNA from 1 species
GCGAGUAUGGCCCUCACGGGUCUAUCCACCAUAAACACCUUUGUGAACCAGUCAGGGGGACUCGGCCGUGAAAGCCCAGGCGAUUAGCGGAAGGGCCCUCCUUUGCAAACCCGUUUAGAAGUCUUGAAAGUACUUUUGUAUAAUCUAGUA